AUUGAACGCUGGCGGCAUGCCUUACACAUGCAAGUCGAACGGUAACAGGUCUUCGGAUGCUGACGAGUGGCGAACGGGUGAGUAAUGCAUCGGAACGUGCCCAGUAGUGGGGGAUAGCCCGGCGAAAGCCGGAUUAAUACCGCAUACGACCUGAGGGUGAAAGGGGGGGAUCGCAAGACCUCUCGCUAUUGGAGCGGCCGAUGUCAGAUUAGCUAGUUGGUGGGGUAAAGGCCUACCAAGGCAACGAUCUGUAGUUGGUCUGAGAGGACGACCAGCCACACUGGGACUGAGACACGGCCAAGACUCCUACGGGAGGCAGCAGUGGGGAAUUUUGGACAAUGGGCGCAAGCCUGAUCCAGCAAUGCCGCGUGCAGGAAGAAGGCCUUCGGGUUGUAAACUGCUUUUGUCAGGGAAGAAAUCUUCUGGGUUAAUACCUCGGGGGGAUGACGGUACCUGAAGAAUAAGCACCGGCUAACUACGUGCCAGCAGCCGCGGUAAAAC
rnacentral:rRNA from 1 species